rnacentral:lncRNA from 1 species
GGUUCCAAACCCUUGCUGGAGAGGUGAUACAGUCAUUUGGAGGAAAGAGGGUUGCUGUGGUAUGCUGGGGUUCCGCUUCAAUGCCUAGUCACCUCAGAUUUUCCUGUACCUGCAGGUAUCACCAGUGAAGCCUGCGAAGCAGCAAAGAUGGCAGUCUGCCCCGUCUUCUAGGAGCUCUGUCACAGGGAGGUAUGGACAUAUUGCUGGCUCAAAUGCACUGUAGGAGGUGGCUGGAGACCCUGGUUGGGAGGUCUUGCCCUUGUCAGGAGGAAUGAGACCAGGAACCUGCUUUAAAAAGUGCUUUGACCGUGUUUUCAUAGACAAGCCGUGCUGUGCUGGCGGACCACUUCAGCUCAUGGUCACCUCAGACACUCUGAAGCCUGAAGGCUGGAACAACUAAAUUGCCCAAACAGCAAAUAUGACAGCAUCUACAGAAAUCAUUUUAUUUGAGUUAUGUAGCAAGAACCCAACUUA